AAUGGGUGAUGUUGAGAAGGGCAAGAAGAUUUUUGUCCAGAAGUGUGCCCAGUGCCAUACUGUGGAAAAGGGAGGCAAGCACAAGACUGGGCCAAACCUCCAUGGUCUGUUUGGACGAAAGACGGGUCAGGCUGCUGGAUUCUCUUACACAGAUGCCAACAGGAACAAAGGUAUCACCUGGGGAGAGGAGACGCUGAUGGAGUACUUGGAGAAUCCCAAGAAGUACAUCCCUGGAACAAAGAUGAUCUUUGCUGGCAUUAAGAAGAAGGGAGAGAGGGAGGACUUGAUAGCUUAUCUCAAAAAAGCUACCAAUGAGUAAUAGUUGGCCACUGCCUUAUUUAUUAUGAAACAGAAGUGUCUCAUGACUUUUUAUGUGUACCAUAUUUAAAUUGAUCUCAUACACUAGACUUCAGAUCAUGAACGGCUGAUGGAAUAAUUCUGUUGGACAGUCCUGAUUUAAAUAAGAUUGGUUUGUGGCUAAAUGAAUAUGGUCAGCUUUUUUAAUUUUGAUAGUAAUUCCAGUUCAACAAGUACUAUCACUUUUCCCAUUCUAAAGAGAUGAUUGAACUUGAAUAAGGAAUAUUAAACUUUUUAGGGAGAUGGUGCAUUCCUUCUCAAACCCUA